GACGAACGCUGGCGGCGUGCUUAACACAUGCAAGUCGAACGGAAAGGCCCUGCUUUUGUGGGGUGCUCGAGUGGCGAACGGGUGAGUAACACGUGAGUAACCUGCCCUUGACUUUGGGAUAACUUCCGGACACUGGGGCUAAUACCGGAUAGGAGCUCCUGCUGCAUGGUGGGGUUUGGAAACUUUCGGAGGUUGGGGUUGGACUCCCGGCUUAUCAGCUUGUUGGUUGGGUAGUGGCUUACCAAGGCUUUGACGGGUAGCCGACCUGAGAGGGUGGCCGGCCACAUUGGGACUGAGGUACGGACCAAACUCAUACGGGAGGCAGCAGUGGAGAAUAGUGCACAGUGGGCGGAAGCCUGAUGCAGCAACGCCGAGUAGGGGAUGACGGCCUUCGGGUUGUAAACCGCUUUCGCCUAUGACGAAGCGUGAGUGACGGUAAAGGGUAAAGAAGCACCGGCUAACUACGUG
rnacentral:rRNA from 1 species